rnacentral:rRNA from 1 species
UACGAAGGGGGCUAGCGUUGUUCGGAAUUACUGGGCGUAAAGCGCACGUAGGCGGAUUGUUAAGUCGGGGGUGAAAUCCCGGGGCUCAACCCCGGAACUGCCUUCGAUACUGGCAAUCUCGAGUCCGGAAGAGGUGAGUGGAAUUCCGAGUGUAGAGGUGAAAUUCGUAGAUAUUCGGAGGAACACCAGUGGCGAAGGCGGCUCACUGGUCCGGUACUGACGCUGAGGUGCGAAAGCGUGGGGAGCAAACAGG